UGGGGAAUCUUAGACAAUGGGGGAAACCCUGAUCUAGCGAUGCCGCGUGAAUGAAGAAGGCCUUAGGGUUGUAAAAUUCUUUCACCUGUGACGAUAAUGACGGUAGCAGGAGAAGAAGCCCCGGCUAACUCCGUGCCAGCAGCCGCGGUAAGACGGAGGGGGCUAGCGUUGUUCGGAAUGACUGGGCGUAAAGGGCGCGUAGGUGGUUAAUUAAGUCAGGCGUGAAAGCCCCGAGCUUAACUCGGGAACUGCGCUUGAGACUAGUUAACUUGAGUCCGAUAGAGGAAAGUAGAAUUCCUAGUGUAGAGGUGAAAUUCGUAGAUAUUAGGAGGAAUACCAGAGGCGAAGGCGGCUUUCUGGAUCGGUACUGACACUGAGGCGCGAAAGCGUGGGGAGCAAA
rnacentral:rRNA from 1 species